CCUCACCACUCCACUCUCUUUCUUUCCUCGCUGCCACUCCACUCUUUUUCUUUCUUUCUUUUUCUCUCUCUCAGCGCAUAAACCAUGGCUUUGUUGGUGGAGAAAACCACACAAGUGGUACCGCAAGAUGAAGAACGUCUUGUUGGGGUUUCAAUGUUAAAAUUGUAACUGUAAAUCAUGUUUGUUGAUGUUGCAGUGAUGUGGAUUCCACGAUAUUGGCUUGUAUUGCGUUCUCGUGCCCUAAUUUGGCAUUCUUGGAGAUCUCGGUCUCUGAUCCUGCAGUUAAUCGGAUCAGCAGAGUACUAGGAAGGAGUCAUGAGCAUUUCACAAAGCACCAAGUUCACUGAGGGUACGCGUGUGAGGAAAUAAAGCUAAAACCAUCUCUGGCAAGGGGAGCCUUUGGAGUGCCACAAAAAGACGCAAUUUACACCUCCUGCUCCUUUCCUCGUGCUUUGUUUCAGAGACUCAUUUCACAAAGCAAAUGACUAAUAUACUUUCCCAUGUUCAAAAAGUUACAUUUAAAUUGUUUUUAUUUAUCUUUGAAUUAUACAAAAUAUCAUUAUCAAUUAUUUAUUAGUUUUUUUAGCCAGUAGUAUCCUAUUCGAACUUGUAAGAUAGUUAUGAUUCAUAAUUUUUUUUCACUAAAUAUAAUUACAUAAUUUAAAUUCAAAAUUUCGAAAUAAGCUGAAAUAAUCUCAGGUGAAUUCAUGGAAUUCAUCCAUGUGGAUAGAAGAUAACUCUUUAUUAAUUAUAACUUAUAAGUAUAUUAAAAUGUAAACUGAAUAUAUAUAUAGUUAUGAUGGCCAGAGGCCACUCAGUAAUCUUUAACUAUAGGAGAUACAUUUAAAAAAAGUGAACUGCAAAGGAUGUGAGUUUCAUAAUGGUAGUGUAAAAAAGUAAAUAUUAUAAAAUUUAAAAGUUUCAUAUAUCUAUUUUGGUUGUGAUUUGUUUGCAGGUUUGCAAUGCUUUUACUGAUAUGGAAAACCCUUCACCUUGUAAGUGUUUACCUGAUGGCUCCAAAAGGGUUCGGUAAGAAGGUAUUGGAAUGUGGUAGGUAGGUGCUAAGAAGGUAUUUGGUACUGGAAUGGAUUACUUUUAGAAGCCAUGAAAGUAUGGAUAGAAAACAAAAACUCUGUAAUGCCAUGUCAAAAUUUAUGUGAAUGGAAAGAUUGAUAGCUAUUUUUUUUUUAUCAGCGGAAAGAUUGAUAGCUAUUUUUUUUUUAUCAGCGGAAAGAUUGAUAGCUAUGUUAAUUACGUAGCUGUUUUUUCUAACAAACUUGAGAGCUCUUUUAAUCCUUGGAGUUUAUAACAAUAUCCCCCAAUAACUGUUACAAAAGUUGGAAAUGUAAUAAUUCAUUUGAAGUUCCAAUUAUUACACUACUUGUUUGCAAAGCCAAGUUGGACCAAGUUGUAUACUUAUUUUUGUCUUUAAGUUGUCUACUUAUAUUGAAUAUCUCAUUUGAAUUUUUAAUGAGCUAUAACUGCUGGAAUAGAAAAUUUAUUUUUGACCGUAUUCCCUUUUUUUCCUCUGUAGUUCAUCAUAUCUUCCUUUCUCUUUCAUUGAAUCAAAUUAAAGGAAGAACUACUAUUACUGGGGAACCAUAUUGAAAAAGAAGUGAGAGAGGAGAAGCAAGUGCCAUAGAAGAAGAAGCUGAGUAGUGAGAUUAAAGAUGGAAAGGCGUGUAUUUUACUAUGUAAUAUUUCUCCUAAUGUGUCAUUUCCUCUGUUCAGGCUAUGGAGGCAGCUCUUGGAAGCUCAAAAGAUUAUUCACUGAAGCAAUAUAUAAAAUUUGUGGAUAAGUUGCAGAGGAAAGCGGAGGUACUUUUCUAUACCUUUCAACGUGGGAGGAUGAAUGCUUGUGUUUUACAUUUUAAUAUAGGAAGAUGGGAAUAGGUUGAUUGUAAAUAUUUCGUUGAUUUAAAGAAUGGAAUUACUAUGCUGAUAAAAAUAAUUUUUAUUGAUACAAUUGAAAUAAGUACUUUUGUUUCCAAUGGAGGCUGUGAUACGAAUAGUAUAU